rnacentral:rRNA from 1 species
GACGUAGGGCGCGAGCGUUGUCCGGAUUUAUUGGGCGUAAAGAGCUCGUAGGCGGUCUGUCACGUCGGCUGUGAAAACCCGAGGCUCAACCUCGGGCCUGCAGUCGAUACGGGCAGACUAGAGUUCGGUAGGGGAGACUGGAAUUCCUGGUGUAGCGGUGAAAUGCGCAGAUAUCAGGAGGAACACCGGUGGCGAAGGCGGGUCUCUGGGCCGAAACUGACGCUGAGGAGCGAAAGCGUGGGGAGCGAACAGG